GGCUAAAUCAAUAGGCUAAGCUCUGCCUGUAUAAAUCUGCAAUAUAUCAAGGCUUAUCUGUAGACUAAACUUUGGCCGUAUGAAUCUGCAUGUUUAUAAUGUAAUUACAGUAGAUUGGAGUAAGGAUUGGAUCCGGCACUAAAAGACUUCAAGAAGUGGCUUAUUUUAUUAAUUAAAUCAAAUUAAGAAAUAUUGUUUUUAUUAAAAGCUACCUUUGUAACAAUGGAAUUUAUUCCAUCUAUUUAAAUAAAAUCCGGUGU
rnacentral:lncRNA from 1 species